rnacentral:rRNA from 1 species
GAGCGAGGGCUUUCUUCCCGCAAGGGAGGGGAGUUCCUAGCGGCGAACGGGUGAGUAACACGUGGGCAACCUGUCGUCUCGUGGGGGAUAACACCGGGAAACCGGUGCUAAUACCGCAUGUCAUCACCGGUCGCAUGGCCGGUGAGAAAAGCAGCAAUGCGCGAGAUGGUGGGCCCGCGGCCUAUCAGCUAGUCGGUGGGGUAACGGCCUACCGAGGCUUUGACGGGUAGCUGGUAUGAGAGGACGACCAGCCACACGGGGACUGAGACACGGCCCCGACUCCUACGGGAGGCAGCAGUGAGGAAUCUUCCGCAAUGGGCGCAAGCCUGACGGAGCGACGCCGCGUGUGGGAUGAAGUCCUUACGGGAUGUAAACCACUGUCGGAGGGGAAGACCAAAGGACGGUACCCUACCAAGAAAGCCCCGGCUAACUACGUGCCAGCAGCCGCGGUAAU